UACAGAGGUCCCAAGCGUUGUUCGGAUUCAUUGGGCGUAAAGGGUGCGUAGGCGGCGCGGUAAGUCGGAUGUGAAAUCUCAGGGCUCAACCCUGAAACUGCAUUCGAUACUGCCUUGCUCGAGGACUGGAGAGGAGAUUGGAAUUUACGGUGUAGCGGUGAAAUGCGUAGAUAUCGUAAGGAAGACCAGUGGCGAAGGCGGGUCUCUGGACAGUUCCUGACGCUGAGGCACGAAGGUCAGGGGAGCAAACGGG
rnacentral:rRNA from 1 species